rnacentral:rRNA from 1 species
UACGGAGGGGGCUAGCGUUGUUCGGAAUUACUGGGCGCAAAGCGCACGUAGGCGGCUUUGUAAGUUAGAGGUGAAAGCCCGGGGCUCAACCCCGGAAUUGCCUUUAAGACUGCAUCGCUAGAAUUGUGGAGAGGUGAGUGGAAUUCCGAGUGUAGAGGUGAAAUUCGUAGAUAUUGGGAAGAACACCGAUGGCGAAGGCAAGGUGCUGGACCCUUUCUGACGCUGAGGCGCGAAAGCCAGGGGAGCGAACGGG